UACGUAGGGCGCAAGCGUUGUCCGGAAUUAUUGGGCGUAAAGAGCUCGUAGGCGGUUUGUCGCGUCUGCUGUGAAAACCUGAGGCUCAACCUCAGGCCUGCAGUCGAUACGAGCAGACUAGAGUGUUGCAGGGGAGACUGGAAUUCCUGGUGUAGCGGUGAAAUGCGCAGAUAUCAGGAGGAACACCGGUGGCGAAGGCGGGUCUCUGGGCAACAACUGACGCUGAGGAGCGAAAGCGUGGGGAGCGAACAGG
rnacentral:rRNA from 1 species